UACAGAGGUGGCAAGCGUUGUUCGGAAUUACUGGGCGUAAAGGGCGCGUAGGCGGUCUUGCAAGUCCCGUGUGAAAUCCCUCGGCUCAACUGAGGAAUGGCACGGGAAACUGCUUGGCUUGAGUUCGGGAGAGGGAAGCGGAAUUCCGGGUGUAGCGGUGAAAUGCGUAGAUAUCCGGAGGAACACCGGUGGCGAAGGCGACUUCCUGGACCAAUACUGACGCUCAGGUGCGAAAGCGUGGGGAGCAAACAGG
rnacentral:rRNA from 1 species